rnacentral:rRNA from 2 species
AUCAUGCAGUCGAGCGAUGAUGAAGAAGCUUGCUUCUUCUGAUUUAGCGGCGGACGGGUGAGUAACACGUGGGCAACCUGCCCUGUAGAUUGGGAUAACUCCGGGAAACCGGGGCUAAUACCGAAUAAUCCAUUUCCUCACAUGAGGGAAUGUUAAAAGACGGUUUCGGCUGUCACUACAGGAUGGGCCCGCGGCGCAUUAGCUAGUUGGUGGGGUAAUGGCUCACCAAGGCGACGAUGCGUAGCCGACCUGAGAGGGUGAUCGGCCACACUGGGACUGAGACACGGCCCAGACUCCUACGGGAGGCAGCAGUAGGGAAUCUUCCACAAUGGACGAAAGUCUGAUGGAGCAACGCCGCGUGAGUGAAGAAGGUUUUCGGAUCGUAAAACUCUGUUGUGAGGGAAGAACAAGUACGAGAGUAACUGCUCGUACCUUGACGGUACCUCAUUAGAAAGCCACGGCUAACUACGUGCCAGCAGCCGCGGUAAUACGUAGGUGGCAAGCGUUGUCCGGAAUUAUUGGGCGUAAAGCGCGCGCAGGCGGUCCUUUAAGUCUGAUGUGAAAGCCCACGGCUCAACCGUGGAAGGUCAUUGGAAACUGGGGGACUUGAGUGCAGAAGAGGAAAGUGGAAUUCCAAGUG